rnacentral:lncRNA from 1 species
UCCAUCACCACUUUUCUAGGUCUCAAAUUCCAUGGUCUCUGCACAGUCUCCUCCUCAUCUUCUUCAGCUUCAUUUUCUCGCGGCUUUGACGACUCUUCUUCCCGUUGCUGUCGUUGUUCUUCUUCGCGGUGGCUUUGUUUGAUGGCUUUCGGUGGUGGAGGAAAGGAUGAGCGGUGAAUGCGGGUGGAGCGUGACCCAACACGCGUCGGACGAAGACGGUCGUGGUCCGAGUCGGAUUCAGGAGAACGGCUGUGAUCGGCGGUGGCAGCGGAUGAACUACCACCUCCAUGGGUCCCCCAUUUAAGAAACGGAAAGUUGAAGUUGUGUAAAGGCUGAGACUUUAUCGGUGCAGUAGCCAUAAAAAAAUAACAAAACAAGAGCGAACAAAGAAACAACUGCACAUAAACGACCAACACUUCUUAAAAGAUGAGAAAUUGAGAAAGAAAACAAAGCGCGGUGGAGGAAGUGGCGGAGCAAAGGAAGAGCAACCCUGAAAGAUGAGAAGGAAGAAGAAAGAAAUAUCAAAUAUGUUCGUUGAAGAAAUAAACUUUAUUUUUUUUUCGUAGGUCACUUAUACAAAAGCGAGAUCACCCGGGGACCGGGUUUUUAUGUUAUGACUUUUUUAGGCUUGAUGUUCCAUUUAUUUACGUUGUGUACCGGCAGUAAAAGGGAGAGGUCUUCAUGAACUGGGGGUUCUCUAUAUUUAUAUUUAUUUUAAUUUUUUUUAAUAUUUACAUUAUCUCUAUAUAUUAUUUCAGAUUUAAUUUAAUUUUUAUGUGUAGUAAAUUAUAUAAUAUAUUAAAAUAGUAUAAUAUAAAAUAUUAUAAAUUUAAAAAUGGAUCGAAUUAGGAUUGAAAUUAAUUGUUAAAUAUUUAAGUUCAAAAUUUAUCAAUAUUUUAAAUGAGUUUAAUUUUUUAAUCUAAUCUUUUUAUUCAAACUAUCUUAAAUUUCAAGCAAACCUUUAAAUCUGGAUAAAUAGUUCGACCCAAACAAGUUUGAAAAACCACAACUCUAAUGUACUACUUUUGGAAGUUUGGCUUCAGGCCAAAAUUGGUAACAAAUAUGUGAAUAACUUCAUCUAUAAAACACUGAAUUCAGUUGAAAAAAAAAUUAAAAAUUACUUUCUAUAAGAUGAUUAAUUCUUAAAGAGGAAAAUAAAUACAUUUUAAUACGUUCAACUUUAUAAUUUUUUAAAAAGUAAUAAAAUUUAGAUUAAAAAACAUUUUUUUUUUGCCAUUUACCCUCUCUCGAAUUCACGAUUUGGGGUGAAAAUUCAACCCUGAUAAUCAAUAGAUUAAAUGUUAAGAUUGUAAUGAAAAAUACUUACCACCUCAAAUUUAGUAAAAAAAGAAAAGAAAAGAUAAGUAUACUCUUACUAUCAUUUAUCCAUGUAUCUUCUAUUUAGUUUAUUCAUUGAUUUAUUUUAAUAUAUUUGAAUUAUUUUAUAUAAAAAAUAUUUUUUAUUUUAAUUAAAAAUAAAUACUUUAAUUUUAUGUAUAAUUCAGUCAUAUUUUAACCUAAUAUUAUAAUUAAAGUAAAUUUUAAAUAUUUAACAUGUAUUUACAUAAAAAAUAAUUAAAAAAGAAAAAAAAGUAAAGAAAAAGUGAAAACAAAAAUAAUUAUCAUUGAUAACAAUUUUUAAAAAAUAAACUUGUAGUAAAUAAAGUUAUGACUUGAUGUCAAGGUUAAGGUCUUGAAAAUUUUAAAAUCUUAAAUUCAAAUUUUAUUUCAUAUAAAUAAUUUUAUAUUUGGUAAAAAUUAUACUUCUUCUUACUUAAAAGAUAAUAACAUAAUGAAGUGCUAAGGAAUCCCCUAAAAAUAUAUAUAAAUAACUCAUAGAACAUUUUUGGACCAACAAGGUUAUGCACUUACAUAUUAUGUCAGAAAUUUCAUUUAUGAUGAUCUUGUCUCAUCCAUUCAACAGUCUAUGUGCUAAGAGGACUAUAAUUUUCUAGUGUCUCCCAAAUCUACUUCAUAAAAAUAAGGCACUAAUCUUUAAUUAUAUCCCUUGUCAAACUAAAUGUAUUUCUUAGUAUAAUCUAUUUCUUAAUUUUGUAUCUGAUAUUAGAAUCUUAAAAAGUUAAAACUGUCAUCUGACAUGACAUAAUUAAUUUUUAUAAUUUUCUGUAAAGAUUUACAAUGUGUUAUAUUCUUACUAAACAUGUCAUUUGACACAGUUGUUGUAAAAUUCCCUUUUAGUUUUUCUUCAACACAUGUCACCAUGUGUUAACCAUUAGCUAAACCAUCAUCUAAUGCGAUAAGUUCAAAGAUUUUUCAAAAAGAAAAAUUGUACAACAUUAAUUUUUUUUUAAAUUCAUAUUUACCACGUGUCACAUCUUUAUUGAAACUGUCGACAUGGUUUCAUCUCACAUAAACAAAAAUGUAAAUUACUUUUCUAAAUAAUUUGAAAUUUAAAUUUCAUAUUUAAAUAAUUUCUAAAUAAUCUGAAAAAUAGAUUAUGUGUUUCUUUUUAAGGAGGUGCAUUUAUAACCCAAAAAGAAAAUCUAAUUUUAGACAUUAAAUUUUAAAUUAGAAAUAUUUUAAAUUAAAAAGAAAAUUAUAACCCCCACGUAAUAUGAUUUGAUGGAUUUGGGGUAGACCUGUUCAUAGGUCGAUUCACUCAGUCCAACCUAAAGACCCGUUCAAAAAGUGAAAGGUUUUGAGUAAAAAUAUUAGUCCGAAAAAUGAGUUCAGGCAAAAUAAAUAAUGCUAAUUUAAAAAUUAGGCUGAGUCUCGAGUAAGGUUUUUUUGGCCUGGGCUCAACCUAGCCCAAAUUAGCAAAAAAAUUUCUUAUUAUUUUCUCACUGUUUUGCUACAAUUUCACUAUUAUGUUACUACUAUUUUGUUGUUAUUGUUUGGAUAUUAUAUAACUCUUGUUUUAUUAUUAAUUUUGUUACAAUUUUAGAGGCAUUUGCUUGUUAAGUUAUACCUAUGUUAGUGUUUCUUUUAUAUAUUUUUUAAUUUAUUUUCAAUUUGUUGGGAAAAAUUUAUUUAAAUGUUUUUAAUAUUUUUGAUGUAUUAUAUUUUUAACAUUUUUUAUAUACAAAAUUAAUUCGGGCAAAUCAGUCUGGGUCCAAGUUUUAAUAUUUUUAUCCGGACUGAACUUGAACAAAAUUUUAAGUCCAUUUUUCAGCUCAUGUUGGCCCAGACCUAGUAAACAAACCUAAAAUUUUGACAAGAUCCAACCCGAGUCCAACCCAACCUAACUCAUGAACAUCAACAUUAAAAUGGAAUGACGAGUAACUAAAAGAAAUAAUUCCAAAUUUAGAUUAUGUAACUAAAAAAGUCUCAUAUAUCCUAUUUAUUUAUUAAGUAAUUUUAAACAAAAAAGAUAAUUAUACUCUUCCAAUCACUUAUCCAUGUAUCUUCUAUUUAGUUUAUUCAUUAAUCUAUUUUAAUUACAAAAUAAUUACAUAUUUAAGUAUUAUAAAACUAAAUAUAUUUAAAUUAUUUUAUAUAAAAAUAUAUUUUACUUUAAUUAAAAUUAAAUACUUUAAAUUUAUGUUUAAUUCAAACAUAUUUUAACCUAAUAUUAUAAUUAAAGUAAAUUUUAAAUAUUUAAGAUGUAUUUACAUAAAAAAUAAUUUAAAAAGAAGCAAAAAGCAAAGCAAAGAAAAGGUAAAAAUAAAAAUAAUUAUCAUUGAUAACAAUUUUUUAAAAAUAAACUUGUAGCAAAUAAGGCUAUGGCUUGAUGUCAAGGUUAAGGUUUUGAGAACUUUAAAAUCUUAUAUUCGAGUCUUAUUUCAUGUAAAUUAACUUAUAUUUUGUAAAAGUUAUACAUUUUGGUACUUAGAGGUAACAACAUUAACUUUUUAUUAUUUAAUUCUGGUUUUAGGUCUAAUAAUUUUAGCAAUUAAUAUUUAUCAUUGUACUAUUUUUAACAAAUUAAACACAAAAUUAAAUAAAUACAUAAUUAACACUAAAUUUAACAAAAUCAAGAAAAUCCAAACCUAAUAGUAUUAGGAACUAAUUUUCAUUAUAUCAACCCUAAAACUUGAAUUAAGUACUAAAAAAUUAACACAGUUAUAAUUGGGUACCACAAUGUACAAUAUUUUGUCAAAUAUAGAUACCACAUUGAAAAAAAAAAAUAUGUACCACAUUAGAAAAUAGCGUCAACAUUAGGUAUUAGAUGAUGUAUUAAGCCUUGUAAAUUUAUUUUGGGUUGUCUGAAUGUAUUCUUAUUAUCAAUGUGAUCAAGCUUUAUAAUUAUUAAUUCUAAUUAUGAUUAUUUAGAUAUAAUAUUUUGUAAUUACAAUUUUGAUUGUGUGUAUAAUUUUUCCCCCAAAAAAUUAUAUAUGUUAAUUAAAAAAUACGUUAUGUUUGAUAUAUGAUUAAAUUAUAAUAUAAUGAAAAUUAUAAUUUAAUUUAGUAAUAAUUAAAAUAUUUUAAAAAAUAUUAAAUUAAAAAAAUAAAAUAAUUAAUUAAUUAAAAUGUUAAAGUUGUACUUUUAUUUAAAAUUUAUUUAGGGUUAGUGAAUUGUUGAUGAAAUCAUAAAGGGUAAGUGGAUUUUUCAUUAAAUGUUUAAAUACUUUUUCCUAAAUUUUAUUAUACAGGUAUUUAAGUAUUUUAAUAUUUUUAUAAUUGUUUUUAAAUUAAAUACCUUAAACUACCAUUUAAAAAAAUAAAACGAAUAAAAGUUUAAGUUGAUAGAUUUAUUUAGACUUAAGAGUGCAAAAAGCCCUCAAAUUUUUUUAGAAAAAGUAAUUAAGUCCCUUUAUCUGUUUUUCACUCAUUUGGGUACUUGAACUUUCAAAAUGCAUCAAAAAGACCCUCAAACUUUUUCAAAAAAAAGCAAUUAAGCCUUUGCUUUUAUUAAAAAUUAGAAAAAAAUUAUAAAAAAUUUAAAUCAAUAAAAGCCAUAAAUAUUAUUAAAUUUUAAUAAAAAUCAAAUAUUAGAAAAUUAUUAAAAAAUAGAAAAAAUAUAUAUUUCAUAAAAUAAAUAUAAAAUUUUAUUAAAAUCGUAAAAAAUGAUAAAAUAUAUAGAAAUUAUAAAAUAUUAUAAAGUCGUAAGAAAAUUAUACAAAAUGUAUAGAAUUAUAAAUUUCGUAAAAAAAUUAUCGUACUAAAAGAAGCAUUUUAUAAUUUUUCUAUAACUUUUAUUGAUUUUUAUUUUUUAUUUAUCAUUUUUUGCCACAUGUCACGUUGUGUUGCGACAUAUGAUGACUUUAAUUGAAAAAAAAACUAGGGGCCAUUAAAUUUUUUAUGAUUUUUAUGAUUUUUAUGAAAUUUUAUAUUUUUUUAUUUUUUUACGAUUUUUAUAAAAAAAUUCUAAUUUUUAAUAUUUUUAUUAAAAUUCAAUAGUUUUUCUAAAUUUUAUUAUUUAUUAUUUAUUGUAAUUUUUUUGUAAUUUUUAAUAAGAGCAGGGGCUUAAAUGCUUUUUUAAAAAAUUUUGAGAGUAUUUUUUAUGCAUUUUGAAAGUUCAAUACCCUAUUGAGUAAAAAAAAAGAGCAAGGGCUUAAUUUUUUUUUAAGAAAUUUGAGGGCCUUUUUGAUGCAUUUUGAAAUUUCAAAUACUCAAUUAAGUUCAAAAAAUAAAAAAAGAGGGGCUUACUUACUUUUUUAAAAAAAGUUUGAAACUUUUUACACCUUUAAACCAUUUAUUUAUUUGUACAAGAGCCUAUCUUUAGUAUUGGUGUUGAUUGUAUAUAUAAAUUUUUUUAUUCAAUACAAUAUGGGUAUCUCAUAAUCAACUUUAUUGUAUUUGUUUAAUGGCUAUUGAAUUUAUUGGAAUAUGUUUAGUUGAUUUAUAUUUAAUGUAUUUGAAGAUAAAUCUGGGUGCAAUCUUGUAUGAUGAAAUUAAGCUAGAAGAUAGAUUCAGCAUUUUAAGUCGUUGGAAGGUUGUUUAACUUUUUUUUUUAAAUUAUAAGAGGAGGGUAAAACCCUAAUAGUGACGUGACUAACGUGAUUCAAAUCCAGGCCAUACUUAAUGUGGUGAACAUCCUGACCAUCAGGUCAAUACACUGGGCUUAAUUGGUCUAACCUAUUUGGUUUAAUUGCUUGGAAAAUAUGGAAAAAUAGGAACCUUUUCAUGUUUCAAGGAAUAACUUGGAAUUCCUUUGAAACUAUUAAAUCAUUCGUCAGCUGGGCUAAGCAAUUUGAUUUAGCUCACAAGAAGGCCUCACCAAGACAAUUUGAUAUUGCUCCUAACCUACCUCUUUCAGGUAAUUAGAUUAAUUUACAUAUUGACGGGCCGUUCAGUUAGGUGUAGGUUUUACUAUUGCUGGAGGUGUGGUACGCAAACAGAAUGGUUUUGGAUCAUUGGUUUCAAUCACUAUUUGGGGAACUUCUUAGUUUUUGAUGUCGAGCUUUAAGGUGUUUUGGAUGAUCUGAUUCUUCUUCAAAUACGGGCAUACAACAAGGUAUUAAUCCAUACUGGCAGUUUAGAGGUGGUCAAUGCCUUUCAGAAGAGACACUUGGCCGAAUUGACUUCAGUUUUGGUGAGAAGGAUUUAUCUGAUAUUACAAACUAUGGAUCAGUGGAGUAUCAGGAAUGUUCCAAGGGAGAAAAAUCAAGUAGUUGAUCAUAUUGUUAAGAUGGCUUCUGAUAGGAUAGAAGAUGUGCAUGUGUAUUUUGAAGCAUCUGAGGAGCUCAGAACUGGUCUUUGUGUCGAUAAAACAAAUGGCUUUCUUACACAUGAUGGAUUAAUUUAGUUACCUUUUUUGUGUUUUUUUUCAAAAAAAAAUUAAGCUAGAAUUUAGAGCAAAGAAGGCUGCUGCUUAAAUUCAAAAGAGUAAACCUAUAAAUUAUAGAGCUAUCCACUGGAUUAUGGUACACAACUCUCAUGAAGAUAUUGAAACAUUACAUGCAAAUACAUUUAAACUCUAAUUACCUAUGGCAAAAGGACCCACAUCCGACUUCAACAACACAACAUAUACUUCCACCAAUCAUUUCAAAGAGCUACCACAUGUUGAGGGCUCUCUCCAUUGCUGAAAGAUAACUGUAAUAGGUCAUUUUGCCCGGGCCCAAACUAAACCAAAUAAAAUAAAAAUUUUAAAGUCCAAAUUAAAAACAGUCCAAUUAUAAGAUUACAAGCCCAAAACAAAAAAAAACUCUAAUGGUCCAGGCCCGGUACCCUAAACUAAGGUUUCAAUAAAAUAAAAAAACCCUAGCCUCCAGCGUCGCUGCCCUCUACGUGAACAGGCACUCCGUUUGGGGCCUGAUGUGCCUUUGCUGCCGUUUCACCAAAAUGGCAAGGGCAUGCUUUCCCUGUCGUUGACUCUCCAAGGGGUACCUACAAAAAGAAUGAAAAAAGGACAAAAAAAAAAUAGUAGCAAAGAAACUGUACCAACGUAGAAACAAAAAAGAAAAGAAAAUGUUGUAAUUUCAAACAACUAUAAAAGCUGAUUUCUUGUAAGAUUCAAGGGGACUUCUUUUUUGAAAAAAGAAAAGAUCAGAUUCAAACACAAAAAAUAGGGUGACUUACUUUGUUUAUCUUUUGAUUCGUAAAAUAAGAAAAUAAUAAAUAAAAAAGGAGUUCAUUACCUGUCUACUCGUGCCGCGCCACCGAUGGAGGUCCCCUUUAGUCACAAAAGCCACCGAACCCAUUAAGGUAUUAUUCGGGCUUUGUCAAAAGGGGACACGAGAGGGCAAAUUGACAGAAAAAGUGCAGAGGCCGAAUUUCUUUUCGUUCUUUUUUUUCUUUUUAUUUUUAGGCAUUUGCCUUUAGAUCUAAAACCUAGGUUUAAAAAAAAGGCCAAAAGGGACUAUUUUUGGUAUUUUCUAACCACCGGGAAUAGCGGAACCCAUUGUCGGUGACUGGUGGCCGCCGUGGGCUCGCUGGACCCUUAAUCAGGACAAGGGGGCUGGAGAGAAACAAAAAAGGGUCAAAGUGUUUUUUUUAAAAAAAAAGCUUAAAAUGUUUUUUUUAAAACGUUUUUUAACUUAUAUAGUUGAUGCAAAACGACACCGUUUCAAUAUGGCCUGAAAUGCCCCAAAAUGAUGUCGUUUUGGGGCCAAACCCGAAAUCUGACCCGAUCCUUUAAUAGGAUCCACGUGUUUUUGAAAAAUGGCCUAUUUAUACUUUCAGUCCUUCUGCUUUUUAAUGACAUUUCAAUGCAGUCCUAUUUCUUCUUUCCCUUUUUAAUUUUUACCAUGUAAUUUCAUUUUUCUUCCAUUUUAGUCCCUAUGGAACGGUGUGUUUGAGGAGUUUGGGAUAAUUUCAUAUUUAGCCCCUAUUCUUUUACACGCGUUUCAUUUUAAUCAUUUAUUCUGUUUUAUUAUUAUUUUUUAUUUCAUACCAUUAAUUUCAUUUAAAUUUUAAUUUAAUCCUUUUUUUAAUCUUUAUUAAAUUGUUUUCUUUUAUAUUUAUCUACUUACUUAUUUAUUUAUUAUUUCUCAUAUAUUUAAAAUUAUUGUUUAUAUUCCUCACAUUUUGUGUACAUUGCCAUCAUUAUUUUUUAUUUUUCUAAUAUAUUUUUUGUAUGCUUAAAUCUAAUAUUACUUAUUUUAUUUAUUCAUUUACUUUUUAAAUACUUAAAUUAAAUAUUAUUUGUUUUGCCUAUUUAUUUAUUUAUUAUUUAUAUAUAUAUUUAAAUUCGAUGUUACUUAUAUUCCCUUUUAUUUGAUUUUAUUUUUUAUUUUUUUAUUUCAAAAUUACUUUAUUUAUUUUGUUAUGAAUUAAUAUUCUUAUUAUUGCCACAUUUACAUCAUUUAUUUAUUAUCACCAUGGUAUGAUUAUUAAUGUCAAUGUUAUUGUUAUAAUUAUGUUAUUAAUAUUAUAAUAUUUCUUCAUUUACUUAUUAUUUAUCAUUCUAUCUAUAAGUCAUUUUAAGUUAUCUCAUUUCCACUAUAUCAGAUAUUAAGAUUCAAACAUUAAUCCAUUUGUAUACCACGCCCAAAUGAAUUAAAUACACAUCACCUUAAGUAUUACAUUCACUUUUUCGCGCAAUGCAUAAAAAAAAGAGAAAUUUUUAAACCGAAGCAAAUGUUCAUUAUUUUGAAAUUAGAAAAGUUGUGUUCCUAACUCACGAAAUAUGGCUUCCUUCUAAAGUCGAUAUAUUCAAAUAUUUACUUUAAAAUAAAUAAAAAAUGAGAUUUAAGUAACAUUCAAUCGGCAUUUAUUCUACUUCUCGAGAAUUUAAGGCAUUGUACCCUAACUUACGAGACAUGAUCCUUUCUUUUCGAACAACUUGAAAUAAGCCCUUUUCGUGAAAAUUAAUUUUGUUAAGUAAUGCUUUAAUACAAAAAAUGAUCGUGCUUUAAACUCCUUUCAAAUUUUCAAUUCCCGACAAUAAGACAUCAAGUAAUCAACCAGGUACCAAUUUUGGGCGUCACGAGGGUGUUAAUCCUCCCUCGUGUGUAACCGACUCCCGAACACAUUUUUUUCCAAAUUUCGUAGACCAAAAAUUAUUGUUUUAGUAAAUCAAACCCUUUAUUAAAACAAUCAAAUUAGGAGAUGACCCGAUCACACCUCACAAAAAUGAUUGGUGGCUACUCCCAUUUUCACUUUUAAAUAAAAGUCGAUAUCAAAAAAUGGUUUUGACAAUAACAUUACACUCAUAGAUAACAUAGGUAUAAUGAAGUGCUAAUGAAUCCACUAAAAUAAUAUAAAUAACUCAUAGAUAAUAUUUUUGUACCAACAACAUUAUGCACUUAACGAUAUCUAAUUUAUGAUGAUCUUGUUUCAUCCAUUCAACAAUAUAUGUGUGAGGACUCCCAAAUCUACUUCUUUAAAAAUAAGGCACUAAUCUUCAAUUAUACCUCUUGUCAAACUAAAUGCACUUGUCAGUAUCAAUCCACUAAUCUUCAAUUAUACCUCUUGUGAAACUAAAUGCACUUGUCAAUAUCAAUCUACUUCUUAAUUUUGUAAUAGUAAUUGAAUUUUUGAAAAGUUGAAAUUGUCAUAUGACACAAUGUAAUCAAUUUUUGUAAUUUUUGCAGAGAUUUACAACGUGUCAUAUUCCCGCAUGAUAGUUUUAAGAUUUCCUUUUAGUUUGUUUUUAACUCAUGUCACUACGUGUUAACCAUUGGCUAAACUUAUCAUCUAAUGCCAUAAGUUAAAAGGUUUUUCAAUAUAUAUAUACAUAUAUAUAACAUUAAUUUUUUAAAUUCAUAUUUGACCACGUGUCACAUUUUUACUGAAAUCGUUGCCAUGAUUUCACCUUGUAUAAACAAAAAUGUAAAUUACUUUUCUAAAUAAUCUAGAAUUUAAAUUUCAUGUUUAAAUAAUUUCUAAAUAAUCUGAAAAAUAGAUUAUGUGUUUCCUUUUAAGGUGAUGUAUUUAAUAACAAAAAAGAAUUCUAAUUUUAAACAUUAAAUUUUAAAUUAGGAAUAUUUUAAAUUAAAAAGAAAAUCAUAACCACAUCAUAAUAUAAAGAUGAAUUGGGGAUAGAUCUAUCCAUGGGUUGGUUCACUUGAUUUGGCCUGAAAGCUCGCCCGAAAAUUGGAAGAGUUGGGCAAAAAUAUAGGACCAAAAAUAGAUUUGGACAAAAAAAAAAGGCCGGUUUAAAAACGGGUCACGCCUUGAGUAAACUUUUAGCCUGGGCUCGACCAGACUUGAAUUAGAAAAAAGACAAAAAAAUUAUACUGUUUUCUUGUUAUUUUACUACUAAAUUAUAUUGUUUUGCUAUCAUUCCACUAUUAUGUUAUUACUAUUUUAUUAUUAUUGUUUGAAUAUUAUAUAACUCUUGUUUUAUUGUUAAUUUUGUCAGUUGCUUGUUAAGUUCAUCUAUCUUAGUGUUAUUUAAGUAUAAAUAUUUUUUUUAAAUUUAUUUUCAAUUUGUUGGAGAAACAUUUAUUUUAAUGUUUUUAUUAUUUUUGAUGUAUUUUUAAUGUUUUAUGUUUUUUAAUUAAAAUUAAAUACUUUAAAUUUCUGUAUAAUUCAAUCAUAUUUUAACCUAAUAUUAUAAUUGAAGUAAAAUUUAAAUAAUUAACAUGUAUAUUUUACAUAAAAAAUAAUUUAAAAAGAAGCAAAAGUAAAGAAAAGGGAAAAACAAAAAUAAUUAUCAUUGAUAACAACUUUUUAAAAAUAAACUUGUAGCAAACAAGGCUAUGGUUUGAUGUCGAGGUUAAGGUCUUGAGAAUUUUAAAAUCUUAUAUUCGAGUCUUAUUUUCAGAUAAACCAACUUAUAUUUAGUAAAAGUUAUACAAUUUGGUAAUUAGAGAUAACAAUAUUAACUUUUUACUGUUUAAUUCGAGUUUUAAGUCUAAUAAUAUUAGCAUUUAACUUUUAUCAUUGGACUAUUUUUAACAAAUUAAACACAAAAUUAAACAAAUUCACAAUUAACACUAAAUUUAACAAAAUCAUGAAAAUUCAAACCUAAUAAUAUUAGGAACUAAUUUUCAUUAUACCAACCCUAAAACUUGAAUAUGAUAUUAAGAAAUUAACACCAUUACAACUGGGUACAACAAUGUACAACAUUCUGUCAAAUAUAUGUACCACAUUGAAAAAAAAUACAUGUAUCACAUUAGAAAAUAAUGUCAAAAUAAGGUAUUAGAUGAUGUAUUAAGCCUUGUAAAUUUAUUUUGGAUUGCCUUAAUGUUUUCUUAUUAUCAAUGUGAUCAGGCUUUAUAAUGAUUAAUUCUAAUUAUAAUUAUUUAGAUAUAUUUUUGUAAUCGCAAUUGUGAUUAUACGUAUAAUUUUCAUCUAAAACAUUUACAUAUAUUAAUUAAAAAAUACAUUAUAUUUGAUAUAUGAUUGUAUUAGAAAAUAAUGAAAAUUAUAAUUUAAUUUAGUAAUAAUUAAAAUAUUUUUAAUAAAGAUUGAAAUAACAUAAAUAAAUAGAAUAAUAACUACUUAAAAGGUUAAAGAUGUACUUUCAUUUUUAUUUGCCUUAAAUUACAUUUUAAUCACUUAUGUUUGAAAUGUUACCGUUAAAACCAUUUUCUUGAAAAUGUUGACUUUUAUUUAAAAACGAAAAUGGAGUCGCCACCAAUCUUUUUUAUGAGAUGUGAUAGGAUCACCUCGUAAUUUGAUCGUUUUAAUAAAAUGUUUUGAUUUACUAAAACAAUGAUUUGAUCUACGAAAUUUGAGAAAACGGGUUUGGGAGUCGGUUACGUGCGAGGAAGGAUUAGCACCCUCGUAAUGCCCAAAAUUGGUACCUAAUUAAUUAAUUAAUUAAUGUCUUAAUGUCAAAAAUUGAAAACUCGAAAAGAAUUUAAAAGACGAUCCCUUUUUUAUUAAUGUUGAUUUAAAAAAAAGCUUGAAUAAAUUGAAACGAGAAUUAAAGGCCCUCUCGUCUUGAGAUAACAAAAUGUCACAUCCCGUAAGUUAGGACACGACAUUUGAACCCUCGAGAAUAAGUUUGCCUUUUAAUUUUUUUUAUAUUUUAAAACUUGUAUGUUUUAAUUCUAAAAGAUAUUAGGCCAUUUAGGUCCAACGAGAAAAUCAAAACCCCGUAAAUUAGGACAACUUCUCAAAGUUUCAAAUACGAAAUAUUGCCUUUAUUUUCAAAAUUUUCAUUUUUUACGAAUUUGGGUGAAAUUUAAUGUAAUAUUUAAAAUGAUAUAUGAACAAAAUACUAUGCUAAUGAAUGACAACAAUAUAAAUGUACUAAUAAGCCAUUUAUAAUACAUAUAAUGACAACAAUCACAUAAUACGUAUCACUUUAAUACCAAUAUUAACAAUCAAAGAAAAAUAAAAUAAAUAACAACAAUGAUAUCAAUAAUAUUAAUGACAAAACAAGGCACACAAAAAGAAAAUAUCAAUUUCUAAACGUAAUAAGGACAAAGAAAUAAACACAUACAUAAAUAAAGAUUGAGAAAAAUAAUUUAUAAAAUAUUGAAAAUAAAAGACCAAAUUAAAAUAUAAAUGAGAGUUGGGGUGCAAUUUGUAAUAAAGUACAUAAUAAUAAUAAUAAUAAUAAUAAUAGAGAAUAAAAUGAAAUAAAUGGAAAAAUGCCCGAAAUAAAAAAACAAAAUAAUAAAUAUAAACAAAAAUAAAGAAAUAAUAAAUAAGCAACUAAAUGAAUAAAUAAAUAAAUUAAAUUAAUUGAGGGACUAAAUUGAUGUUUAGACUAAACUACAAGUAUAAAAUAUAAUAAAAAUAGACUGAUUGAAUGAUAAAACAAAUAAAAGGACCAGUUUAAAACGCGCAGAAAAGGCAAGGGAUUAAGAGGGAAAAUAUCCCAAGACCCCACUAAGUGCGCCAUUCCAUUUUGCGAAUCGAAGGACCAAAUUAAAAGUGAAAUAAAAUUAAAGAGUCAAAUUUAAAAAAAAUAAAAAAGAAAAUAUGAUUAGAUUAAAACAACCCAGAAAUGCGGAAGGACCAGGGGCGUAAAUAACCCAAAAAUGAAAACACGCGGGUUCCCCUGGAGUGGGUCAGGUUGACCGCGGGUUGGCCCUAAACGGCGCCGUUUUGGCAUUAAAAGGUCAAAGCAAAAUGACGCCUUUUUUAUUUCCAUUAUUUAAAUCAUUUUUUUAAAAACUUCAUUUUCUCUUUUCUUCCUAAAAAAACAAAAGAAACUCUCUUAACUCCUCCCCCAUCUUUUAGAUCUCUGGCAUUAUCCGACCAUUAGGCCACCGUGGUGACCACCGAUUGCCGGCGACAGCACCGUAGUACACGGUUGCCGAAGAACACCAAAAGACACCCUUUUAAAGCCUGUCAUAUGUAGAACGCCGAUCCGAGGCCAAAACCCCUGAAAUCCCAGCCUAAAAAGAAAUGUUUUGUUUCUUCUCCUUUUUCGGCGUGGCCUUCGACGGCGAGGAGACCGAUAGAUUUAGGUGAGUUUUCUUUUCUUUUUAUUCCUAUAUCUUAUAUCUUUAAAAAAGAAAUAAAAAUAAAAAUAAAACGAUAGAUACAUAAAAAAAGUUCACCUUAUGUUUAAAAUUUUUUAUUUUUAUUUUAUUUCUAUUUCUUCAUGCAUAAAAAAGAAAAUACAAAGAUGAUGUUUGGCUUUUAUAGCCAAUGUUACAAGAUCCGUUUUUAUUUUUGUUGUUUUUUGUCUGCUGUCAUUUUGUUUCCUUCUUUGUUGUCUUCUUUUUUUGCGUGUUGCAAGUGGUGUCAGAGAAGGGUCAAAUGCAUAGAGAAGUGGUGGCGUGCAGCGACGGCAACUCUUAGGCUAAGGUUAGGUUCUUUUUCUUGAAAAUGUUAAGAUAGUGAGCCAUUUGGGCAGUCUAAGGUUUUUAAGUUUUGGGUUGGUAAUUUGUUUGUAAAUUAGGCUGGUGUGUUAAGGUUAAUUAUGGUCUGAGCUUGUAAUUGGGCCUGUCAUUAGUAUUUGGACUUUGGAUUGUUUAAUUAUUUUUAUUUUGGUUUUUGUUUCCCUUUUUUUAUUUUUGAUUUUUCUUGUUGGGCCCUUGCAAAAAUGGGCUUUUACAGUUGCCCCUCUUUGCUCGUUGUCGUCUAAUGAGAACGGAGCAAAGACUUUAAAGAGGGCCAAAUUUGCCCGAUUUUUUCAAAUAUCGACUUCUUUGAUGUCUCUCUUCUUCAAAUAGUCUCAUUCCAAUCUACUGCAUAUUCAGGCGUAUAAGAAUUAGUGUUUUAAUCUAAUCCACUGUAACUUCAGAGAGAUCAGUCUCACAUUUACAAUCUGUUCCACUGUAACUUUAGGGAGAUAAGAUUUUUAACUCGUAGCUUUAAUCUGUUCCACUACAACUCCAGGGAAAUAAGAAUCGCAUCUUCAAUCUGCUCCACUGCAACUUCAAGAAGAUAAGAUUUGUAACUCUAACUUGCUCCACUGCAACUUUAGGGAAAUAAGGUUUAUAGCUUUAAUCUGCUCUACUGCAACUUUAGAGAGAUAAGAUUCGCUAUCUUUAGUCUGCUCCACUGCAACUUCAGGGAGAUAAGACUUGUGGCUUUAAUCUACUCCAUUGUAACUUCAGGGAGAUAAGAUUUGCCAUAAUAACUUCAAUUCAUCCCACUGCAACUUCAUGGGUAAGAGACUUGUGACUUCAAUCUACUCCACUACAACUUCAGGUAGAUAAAAUUUGGUAUUUUUAACCUACUCUACUGCAGCUUCAGGAAGAUAGGAUUUGUGGUUUCAAUUUGCUCCACUGCAACUUUAGAGAUAUAAGAUUCACCAUGAUGAUUUAAAAUUUUCCCACUGUAACUUCAGGGGUUUAGGAUUUGACUUGUAACUUUAAUUUAUUCCACUGCAACUUUAGGGAAAUAAGAUUUGAGGCUUCAAUCUACUUCACUACAACUUUAGAGAGAUAAUAUUCGCUAUCUUCAAUCUACUCCAUUGCAACUUUAAGGAGAUAAUAUUUAUUAUUUUUAACCUGCUCCACUGUAACUUUAGGGAGAUAAGGUUUGUGACUUCAAUCUGCUCCGCUGCAACUUUAGGGAGAUAAAAUUCGUAGCCUGUAACUUUAGUCUAUUCCACUAGAACUUCAAGAAAAUAAGACCUAUUAUGGUAGAUUUGAUCCGACCUACUGCAAAUUCAAAGGUAUAGGAUUAUUAUUUUACUCCAUUUCAACUUCAGGGAGAUAAGAUUUGUAAUUUAUGGUUUUAAUUUGUUCCACUACAACUUCAGGGAAAUAAGAUUCACUAUCUUCAGUCUGCUCCACUGUAACUUUAGGGAAAUAAGACUUGUAACUUCAUCCUACUCCACUACAACUUCAGGGAGAUAAGGUUGUGGCUUUAAUUUGCUCCACUGCAACUUUAGGAAGAUAAGAUUCACCAUGAUAACUUUAAUCCGUCCCACUGCCAUUUUAGGGGUGUAGGAUUAGUGGUUUCAAUAUGCUCCACUGCAUCUUCAGGGGAUAAGAUUCGCCAUAAUGAUUUUAAUCCAUCCCACUACAUCUUUAGAGGUAUAGGAUUUUUGGUUUCUCUGAUCUUUUACACCAUUCUUUGGGGAACAUGACCUGUAGAAUCUAUUUCAUGAGCCUAUUUAUGCCAAGUCAUGAUCAGAAUGAAUCAAAUGCUCCUAAAAUGUGUAUGAAUUUGGACUAUUCUCUGACAGAAAACCCGAGGAAUAAUCACAAUUUGGACUAUUCUUUCCCCAAUGUUUCCAACUCUUGAAUUUGGUUAGUUUUAACUAGUGGUCCUGUUUUAGGUCCUUGUACUAUUUAGAAGCUUUUCAGUGCAAUAUGCAGAACUUCUUUACGUGAAUAUUAUCAGUCCAAUAAUUAUUGUUUCAAUGAAAAAUGUUUGAAAAAAAUUAACACAAUGGAUAAGAUGGAACUUUAUUGAUAGAAAAGCUCGAAAUUAAUAAAUUAAUCAAGAUAGCAAAUUUUGCUAAUAUAAAAAAUGAAUAAGAUGAUAAUAGGUACCCCAGAUAUCGCAGCAUAAGCUUCUUUGCACAAAACUUCUCGAGGACCUUUUGAACUUUAUAUGUGUUCAGAAGACCUAGAGUACUUUGUUGAUGCCCCAAGAUGUAGCAUCCUUCCUUCUUGUUAAUUCGGAGAAGACAAGACUACUGUAUGCCUCCACCCUUAAUCAAAAUUUGAAUUACCCAUUCCUGGGUUUUCAACUCAAACCUUUUUGGUCUCAAGGAGCCCUUUUACGGGUUUUUAUUUUGGCCUCCCUUUUUUCUUUUUCUUCUUUUUUUGUUUUUGUUUUUUUUGUUUUUUUUAUUUUGUAGUGAAAUAUUUCUUAAUUGAAUCUGAAUUAACGGGAUAUAGGCAAAUUAUUGGCAUCCAUUUCAGUUAAAAUUGACGCUCCUCUAAAGAAGGCCUUCUUUACCAUAUAAUGUCUUUCCUAGUUUGGCAUCCACUUUUCUGUAAAGUCUUUUUGUAUAGGAAGGAUUUUUUCAGUAAUAGAUUCCCUCAUAGAGUUCUCUAGGAUGAACCUUUUUUGUUUGUAAUCUCGUAUUAUUCGUUUUUUUUUAUAUCUAACCAUGUCGUAUAGCUUUAACCUCUUCUCUUCAAUCAGAUUCAAUUGAUCACAUCAAGAUUGAUCUAUUUGCUUCAUCCAUCUUCAGCUCAACUGACACUCGGUGAGAAAGAAUUUUAACGUCAAUGGGCGAAACCAACCCCAUUCCAUAAAUUAAUGAGAAAUGCAUUGCCUAGGUGAGGAUCCUGACAAGCGGUUAAUAAGCAUUUAUAGUAAUUUCUCAUGCCAAUCUUAUGAGUCUCAAUCAUUUCCCCCACGAUCUUCUUAAAUUUUUUUAUUGGUUGCCUCUACUGCACCGUUCAUUUUUGGGCUAUAUGGUGUUUGAUCUUGAAAAAGAAUGUAACUUUUGAUAUUGUGCUAUUGUUUAAAUUUAGUUGUAUUGUCAGAUAUUAUCCUUUUUGGCAUUUCCAUACCAAUAUAUGAUUUUUUUAAGAAACUUGCUAACUGUCGACUUUCUGACUUUGGCAUAUGAAGCAUCUUUUACCCACUUAGUAAAGUAAUCGACGAUCGCAAAGAUGAAUCGAUUCCACACUAGAAGCUUUGGUGUGUUCGUCCUAAUAACAACCAUGCCCCACAUAGAGAAAGGUCAUGGAUUCCACUGAUUUUUUGUAAGGUAGGAUCUGUUUAUCCAUCUUCCUUAACUUAAAUCAGGAAAUAAACUACAAUUUUGAUCAUCUUCAAAGUCUUGAGGUUCCUCUGGACACAUAUCUUGGUCAAAAGGAGGUUCUGAGUCAAUAGCAGUGUUGCUCAUAUCAUUGAUAUCUGGAGACCUAUUGUAGGGACGAACAAAAACCCAAAGAAAAAAAAGAAUCUAAGAAUAAUAUUUGUGUGGUAUGAGAUGAAAUAAACAAAAUAAUAUUUGCUUGAAGUGAGGCACAAAGAUGCAUUUUAUUGAAAUAAAGAUGUUGGAAAUAGGCUUAUUUCACAGAGGAUUCUUAUUGCUCUUAGGCUUAGAGCAAUAAAUGCGUUUUGAACAUUACUUUGAAUUAGCUCUAAAAAAAUACAAGAAUCUCUUCCACAGUCCUAUUGUUCAAAACAUUCCCAGGUAUGUAAGGGCAAAUGCUUGAUAAUUUUUUCCCUAGUUCCCUAUUAAUGUUCAAAUUUCCCAACAUUCGUUCUCGGCCUUUGUCCUCUUCAAAGAAUUCCAACUCUUAGUUCUCCAUUAGACUUUGCACCAAAACUUUGAAUUUUCCGCACUUUUGGAUUUCAUGACCUUCUUCCGCGUAGAAUUCACAGUAAACUCCUCAUCCCUUUGGGUAUCUUCUAUGAAUCCUGAAUGAUUAAUUUCAUGUCUAUCAUUUGUUUCAAGAUUCAUUUCAGAGGGGUUUUUACUUCUGUAACAUUGGUUUUGGUUCUCUUUCCUCCCCUCUCAAUUAUCGCGUUUACCCUUGGGUCUAAAUGACUGGGUAAAGGAUUUUUUGCCACAUUAGGUCCUGAUGGAUCGUCGAACUUAACGAUUCCUCUUGAUGAACCUUCGAUUAACAUUUUAAAUGUAGUGCAGUUUUCAAUUGACGCGUUAUUCAUGCGUGGUACUCGCAUUGGGCAUUCGCAUCAUACCAUUUUAGGAACGGAGGCUGCAUGGGUUCUAAGUAGAACAAUGAUACAACAUGCGCAUCAAACAGAUUCUGAUACAGCUCCCUAUAUGUCAUCGGGAUGGGUGUGAACUGAAGUCUUUCUGUAUUUGGCCUCGAGUUGGAUUCUUGCAUUGAGAGGCCUUGAUAACUAGUAGUUAUGGCCCUCGGCUGGCUUACAGUGACUGGUUUGGAAUGGCCUUUGUUGUACAUGCUCAUGUUAUUCAUUUCAUUUUUCUUGUUCUUCAGGGUUGAUCUUUUGGUGCUUUCUCCCGCAUCUAUCUUCCUACUUCUCACUGUAUUUUUAAUCAUCACACCGGACAUUACUAUAUCUAAGAAGCUCAUGGUAGCACUUCCCAACAUAUGAUUAAUAAACGGGGCUUUCAGAGUGUUGAUGAAAAGCAUUUUUGUUUUUUUUUCUAGAAGAGAUAGUUGGACUUGCGUUGCCACCUCUCUCCAUCUUUGGGCAUAUUGCCUGAAGCUUUCACUUUGCUUGCUUUUCCAUAUUCUGCAGUGUAAUUCUGUUGGGUGUCAUGUCUGUUACAUGGAUGUAUUGCUUCAUGAAAGCUUGUACCAAGUCUUUCCAUGAAUUUGAUUUUAGCACGACUUAGCUGGUUGUACUAUUUGGCCGCAGACCUGAUCAGACUGUCAUGGAAGCAGUGGAUUAAUAAUUGAUCAUUAUUACCGUAUCUUGUCAUCCUUCAGAACAUCAUGAUGUGAGCUUCAAGGCAGCUAGUCCCAUUAUAAUUUUCAAACUCUAGAAUAUUAAAACUUUGGUGGGAGCACUAGAUCUGGGACCAAGCUCAAGUCCUUAGCAUCAAUUCUGCAAUGGUGUUAGUGUUUUCCAUUGCUUUGAAUUUUUUUUCUAACCAUUUGCACCUAUCUUCAGUUUCUUUGGCAGUUCCACUAUUGCUUUUUCCAUUUCUGCCAUAUCUGUAACACCCCCUACCUGUAUCUGUCGCCGGAAUAGAGUACGAGGCAUACCGAGAAGCACGAAACACUUACAAAUAGUUUAAAUACAUUUUCAUAACAAUUUGUUUCGAUUUCAUACUAUUUCAUAUUUAAGCUUUAUUCACUAAAGUAUUUGAAAUAUCAUCUUUAUGCAAAUAGCACACAUGAGGUACAUAAUUCUAUAAUUAUGAAUGAACACAUUUAUCAAACAUAUUCCAUGUUUUUAUAUAUCAUAGUUUUCAUAUUUCCAUGUAUCAAUUACCAUCACUUCUUCGUAUUUCAGACAAAUACGUGUAACAAUCAUAAAUAUGCAAUUCAUUAACUCUUCCUACCAAUUACGAUUUAAAUUGCCAAAUCACUUACUGAGCCCAAUUUCAAUGUUCACUAAAAUUUAUCAUAUAAAUUUGAUGUACGUAUUCAUCAAUAAAUUUCAUGUACAAAUAUCAUCAUCUUAUAUUUCCACAUACAUUUGCUUUCCACAUUUAUGAAUUCAAAUAGCAUAUACAUACAUACCAAUGUAUUUCAAGUACGUUUCAUGAUAUUUCAUUUCGAACUCAGAUUAUUUCAUACUAGAAGUUUUCUCAUUAACUCAUUUGGAGUACCAAUUCAUACGGAUAAUACACUCAAGGCGUAGAAAAUAUAUAAUCAAAAAUGAAUUCAUCCAUCAACCAAGUUUUAUGCUCAUGUCUCAUCAACUCGUAUUUCCUUAUGUCACAUAAUUCCCAUGUAAUACUUACCAAACUUCUUCAAAUUAGUGAACAUCUUACGGAAUUGAGUACUUCAUUUUUUUUCGAUGCUAUAGUUCAACUAUGGUCUUACACAUCUUUACAUAAUGAUGCCAUAGCCCAGCUAUGGUUUUACACGUAAUCACAUAUCUCACUGAUGUCAUAUCCAGAUAUGGUCUUAUACAGUAGCAUAUAUCACACCGAUGCCAUAUCCCAGAUAUGUCUUAUACAGAAAUCACUUGUCACUUGUCACUUGUAGCCAAAGCUACCACUAUUCACUGAUCAGGUAGCUGGUGCUACCAUUUUUUCACUGAUUAGGUAGCNNNNNNNNNNNNNNNNNNNNNNNNNNNNNNNNNNNNNNNNNNNNNNNNNNNNNNNNNNNNNNNNNNNNNNNNNNNNNNNNNNNNNNNNNNNNNNNNNNNNNNNNNNNNNNNNNNNNNNNNNNNNNNNNNNNNNNNNNNNNNNNNNNNNNNNNNNNNNNNNNNNNNNNNNNNNNNNNNNNNNNNNNNNNNNNNNNNNNNNNNNNNNNNNNNNNNNNNNNNNNNNNNNNNNNNNNNNNNNNNNNNNNNNNNNNNNNNNNNNNNNNNNNNNNNNNNNNNNNNNNNNNNNNNNNNNNNNNNNNNNNNNNNNNNNNNNNNNNNNNNNNNNNNNNNNNNNNNNNNNNNNNNNNNNNNNNNNNNNNNNNNNNNNNNNNNNNNNNNNNNNNNNNNNNNNNNNNNNNNNNNNNNNNNNNNNNNNNNNNNNNNNNNNNNNNNNNNNNNNNNNNNNNNNNNNNNNNNNNNNNNNNNNNNNNNNNNNNNNNNNNNNNNNNNNNNNNNNNNNNAUUAGUCAGUGUAUUUAGAUCAAAAAACAAACUAGUACUUUUAUUAAAAAUUCUAUUAUUUUUUAGUAUUAAAAAACUAAUCUUAUACAUCAUCAUGAGAACACACGUCAUGCAAUGUGUAAUUAUUUAAUUAUUCCAUCAACCAUACUAAUUUUUAAUAAUAGAAAUUAAAGGAACUUUUAAUAAAAAGAAAUCUACUCUUUGAUCUAAUGUAUAAAGAUUAAUUUACUCAUUUUUUGAGUAAAAAACAAAAUACAAUUUAAGUCAUAAUAUAGAUUAUUGUAAAGUUUUAUGCUAUUGGAAAGAUUUGGAUGAGUGAUGAGAUAUAGUCUUUUAAAAUAUUGGUUUAUAGUUGUAUACUUGUUAAUUAUUCAUAGCAAAAAUGGCAGGAUUAAUGAUUUUUCCUUUUAUUUUCCUCUCUUUUGGGCAAGAAUCAGAUAAACAUCCAGCAAAACUAGGCACUUUCAACUUUAAAAGGUCACUCUUUUUCUGGUAAUCAGUAAUGAAUAUGCUUCUAAUUACUAACUAUUAAGACAUCAAAACAGAGGCUUGUUGACAGAAAAAACAGAACAAAUAUGACACUAUUAUGUUUGCUUUGGAUAUAAGAAGUUUUCACACAACAAUCCAUCGCCAAAUCAUAGAAAAAGAAGCCAGUGGAUAAUAAUGUGUUACUUCAAGAGAUUAAGAUGAUUUUUAAGGUCCUGUCAGUACUGAAACACAAGCUUCCUUUUUUAUUAUCAUCUCACAAGUGCUUAAAGAUCCUACAUGAAACACAAGCUGACAUUAUUCAAACUUGGGCCAUUCAAAUUGUCUUGUAAGAUGUAUAGAAUUUAUCUUGUCAACUGCCAUUCAAUUUUGACCAAAUCAAAAUGCAUAAUAUAGCAACAACAAUAAAGAUUUCUUCAUGCUAAGAUGUCAUAUUUAGUCAAAGCAAAUAUAUAUAUUAAUCAACUAAAAUUAGAACCUUCUCAAAGUGUUCCUCCUUGCGAAACUCCUAUGUAUAGAGGAAGGAGCUCUUCCAGAUAAAAGGAAAUGUAGUACCCUCAAUAUUAAAGUUAAUCAUCCAAUUACGGAUUGCAAAUUAACUACACAGCUUGAAACUCUGCCCCCCACCGAUGUAGGGAAGCCUGUCAAACAUCGUAAGCAAUCAACGAAUUAGAAAAUCUACAAAACCCAACACCCCAGAAUCGGAAUACUUAUUUGGCAUAGCGAAAUCAAAGCUUUGAAAGAAACUCUCUCUAUUUCAUCCAUAUUCCUGUUCAUAUUUGGUUUCUUAAACUAAAAACUCUAACCCUACUCUUCCCUUGCACAACACAUAUAAGAAAUUAAAUAUCUUCUCAUGCUUUUCCUUUACAAAAGUCAUUUUUCAUUAUACACAAAAAAAUUGAGGUCUCAAAUGUGCCAUACCCCUACAAAAGCUCCCAGAUUUGCAAAGUUCACUAAUAACAUAUCCAUCCCCUGCAAACACCAUCAUCACCAAACUAUUUCAGCUGCAGCAGACUUUGAAAUUUAACUAAAAAAAUCCCCCAAAGUUAAAAGAAAUUUAGAGACAACCUUUCAUAUUUUGUAAUCUGUUUUGCAUCUAACAAUAGAUCUAUUUCUGCAGAUAAACAAGUUAAAAGAGAUUUCGGUUAUGAGCUACGGAAAUCCUAAAUACAAACAAGUUCACAUGAAAAUUUAGAUAAAGCAACAAACCUUAACAGGAGCAUCAGCAAUACGGUAAGCAUCAGCCGUCGUACCAACCAACCAUAACCCAGGGAAAACAUUCUAAAAAGUCCAAAAAGAAAAAAAGAAAAGAAGAUAGAUUAAAUGAUUAUCAGAAAAUUAAUGAAAAACGAAAACCCAGAAAUAUUAAUCCUUACAUCAAGCUGUUUCUGAAUAUUCUUUGGCCUUUUCUUGGGCCUUCUUGCAGGUCUUGAUCCUGUUAUAAAAAGAUGUCUUCCUCAAUCUCUUCCUUUGAUAAAGCUAUCCAGAACUUCCUUUUUUCUUUCUUUUCCGCAACUCCCCCAUUUUCAGCGAAACCCCUUAAUCUCAUCGACUUCGGCCCCACCGUUUCACUCGUCUUUUCCGCCGCCGAUGUCACUACCGCCGCCGACGUCUCCAUCACCACUUUUCUAGGUCUCAAAUUCCAUGGUCUCUGCACAGUCUCCUCCUCAUCUUCUUCAGCUUCAUUUUCUCGCGGCUUUGACGACUCUUCUUCCCGUUGCUGUCGUUGUUCUUCUUCGCGGUGGCUUUGCUUUUUGAUGGCUUUCGGGUGGUGGAGGAAAGGAUGAGCGGUGAAUGCGGGUGGAGCGUGACCCAACACGCGUCGGACGAAGACGGUCGUGGUCCGAGUCGGAUUCAGGAGAACGGCUGUGAUCGGCGGUGGCAGCGGAUGAACUACCACCUCCAUGGGUCCCCCAUUUAAGAAACGGAAAGUUGAAGUUGUGUAAAGGCUGAGACUUUAUCGGUGCAGUAGCCAUAAAAAAAUAACAAAACAAGAGCGAACAAAGAAACAACUGCACAUAAACGACCAACACUUCUUAAAAGAUGAGAAAUUGAGAAAGAAAACAAAGCGCGGUGGAGGAAGUGGCGGAGCAAGGAAGAGCAACCCUGAAAGAUGAGAAGGAAGAAGAAAGAAAUAUCAAAUAUGUUCGUUGAAGAAAUAAACUUUAUUUUUUUUCGUAGGUCACUUAUACAAAAGCGAGAUCACC